rnacentral:lncRNA from 1 species
CGGCUGUUGAGCUCCUUCUGUGUUCCAGUGGAACAUCUGUGUUUUACUGUGCAAAUGAGAAUGGCCAGGAUGUUACAUACAGCUGGACUGUCAGUAACAGCAUCCUGGGAGAACGGACUGUAUUCAGUAACAGUUGUAAAUAUAUAUCUUUGAAGAACAUGUCUGGAACUGUCCGCUGCUCUGUGGAGAAGAAGGGCUGCAGUGCACAGAGUGAACCUCAGAACUUUGACUGCACAGAACACCCAUAUGAGACAAGACAGCCCUGGGGUGUCAUUGUUCUGAUCGUUGUCUGCACACUGCUACUUUGUCUGACCAUGGCUGCACUUCUGAGCUGUAUCCGAAGAAGCUACAAAAAACGUCUCCUGAAUGAGAAUUCUGCACAAUCCAGUUCCUCACCGGAGGCCACCGAUCACGAGCUAGUUUUUUAUACGCAAGUCAGACUCUCACGAUGACGCCUGUGAGCUUUUAAUUGGGCAAAAUAAAUGGUUGACAUAUUUUAUGAUUUUAUCGAGG